GAUGAAGAACGUAGCGAAAUGCGAUAAGUAAUGUGAAUUGCAGAAUUCAGUGAAUCAUCGAAUCUUUGAACGCACAUUGCGCCCGCCAGUAUUCUGGCGGGCAUGCCUGUUCGAGCGUCAUUUCAACCAUCAAGCCCCCGGCUUGUGUUGGGGACCUGCGGCUGCCGCAGGCCCUGAAAACCAGUGGCGGGCUCGCUAGUCACUCCGAGCGUAGUAGUUCCAUCUCGCUCAGGGCGUGCUGCGGGUUCCGGCCGUUAAAAGCCUUAUUUACCCAAGGUUGACCUCGGAUCAGGUAGGAAGACCCGCUGAACUUAAGCAUAUCAAUAAGCGGAGGA
rnacentral:misc_RNA from 1 species